rnacentral:lncRNA from 1 species
UGCCCGACGUGGGUGGGGGGGGCGUGGAAUCGGAGCACAACUUGGCCCUGCGUUCCCAGGAAGGGACCCGAAGACCUCCCCAGGCCACCCCGCCAUCUGCGUGCGCGCUGGCAAGAGGAGGGGCGCGGGGUAAUGGUGGCCGGCGCCACAGCCCCGCGCCGCGCAGAAGCAACUCCCUCCACCACCACCACUGGAAUUCUAGGCCAGUGCCCUGAAGAGGAUGGAAGAGGUGAGUCAGAGACUGGGAGUCCCUGUUUUCUGGGAACUGAGAGGUUGAGAGCUGAGUCUCAGGCAGAGACUGUACGUGGCAGGGAUGUGGAGCAAGGAGACCUGGAUUCUAGCAGCAACGCUUCCAACCUCAGGCUGGCUUCAGGGUCUUGCCCACCACCAGCGAUGCCCAGCCCUUGGUAGAGCUUGAACCACCUUCUAUAAACA